rnacentral:rRNA from 1 species
UAAGGAAUAUUGGACAAUGGACGCAAGUCUGAUCCAGCCAUGCCGCGUGAAGGAUGAAUGCCCUCUGGGUUGUAAACUUCUUUUAUAGGGGAAGAAAGAUACUUUUUUUAAGGUAGUUGACGGUACCCUAUGAAUAAGCACCGGCUAACUUCGUGCCAGCAGCCGCGGUAAUACGAAGGAUGCAAGCGUUAUCCGGAAUUAUUGGGUUUAAAGGGUGCGUAGGCGGACUAAUAAGUCAGUGGUGAAAGCCUGCAGCUUAACUGCAGAAUUGCCAAUGAUACUGUUAGUCUUGAGUACAGUUGAGGUAGGCGGAAUGUGUCAUGUUGCGGUGAAAUGCUUAGAUAUGACACAGAACACCGAUUGCGAAGGCAGCUUGCUAAGCUGUAACUGACGCUGAGGCACGAAAGCGUGGGGAGCAAACA